UGACAACCGGUCAUGUAGCAUGAACACCUGGAGUUCUCCAUGCUACUGAGGGAUCUAGAUAGACCCCGGGUGUUCAGCCAAUGAGCUUCCCUUCCUGAGCAUUCCUUCCCUCAAAAGCCCUCCCUACUCUCCGCAGGGAACCAAACUGGAUCCAACUGGAUUGCCCUGAGGACUGCGUCUGGGUACACAGGAGACCAGGAACCACAGCAUCUGUCUCAGACUCCGAUGUUUCUCACCCAGGACUGACUAUAGCCUUCUGUCCAGCAUUGUGUCACAACAGUAAGAAAAGAAACCAGUGACCCAACCAAAUACAAGACGUGGAACCUUUCAGACAUUUCAAUUUGAAUGAGCCAAACACGCAAAAGACAUUUCAGAGACGCUGCAGACACCUGAACGUGGACUAGAAAUUUGAUCCUAUAAAAUCGUAGAGUCAGAUGUGAUGACACAUCCCUCUAAUCUCAGCAGCUGUGAGGUGGAAGCAAGAGAAUUUGGAGUUCAAGGUCAUCCUCU